rnacentral:rRNA from 1 species
AUUGAACGCUGGCGGCAGGCUUAACACAUGCAAGUCGAACGAGUGGCGGACGGGUGAGUAAUGCCUGGGAAACUGCCUGAUGGAGGGGGAUAACUACUGGAAACGGUAGCUAAUACCGCAUACCAUCAGAUGUGCCCAGGUGGGAUUAGCUAGUGGGUGGGGUAAUGGCUCACCUAGGCGACGAUCGCUAGCUGGUCUGAGAGGGUGACGAGCAACACUGGAAUUGAGACACGGUCCAGACUCCUACGGGAGGCAGCAGGGGGGAAUAUUGCACAAUGGGCGCAAGCCUGAUGCAGCCAGGCCGCGGGUGUGAAGAAGGCCUUCGGGUUGUAAAGCACUUUCAGCGAGGAGGCGUUACCCGCAGAAGAAGCACCGGCUAACUCCGUGCCAGCAGACGCGGUAAUAC